rnacentral:lncRNA from 1 species
UUAGUCUAACCAUCUCAAUGGGCCCCAUUGAUUUUGUUGUUUUUGAUUGGUAUGUUAGUCUAACCAUCUCAAUGGACCCCCAUUGACUUUGUUGUUUUUAGAUUGGUAUGUUAGUCUAACCAUCUCAAUGGGCCCCCAUUGACUUUGUUGUUUUUAGAUUGGUAAGUUAGUCCAACACAGACCAUGAAACAUGACAUAAUACAGAACAAUAAUAGACAAGAACAGCUCUAGAACAGAACUACAUCCA